rnacentral:rRNA from 1 species
UACGUAGGGUGCGAGCGUUAAUCGGAAUUACUGGGCGUAAAGCGUGCGCAGGCGGCUUUUUAAGCCAGACGUGAAAUCCCCGGGCUUAACCUGGGAACUGCGUUUGGAACUGGAAGGCUAGAGUGCGUCAGAGGGGGGUGGAAUUCCACGUGUAGCAGUGAAAUGCGUAGAGAUGUGGAGGAACACCGAUGGCGAAGGCAGCCCCCUGGGAUGACACUGACGCUCAUGCACGAAAGCGUGGGGAGCAAACAGG